AACGAAUGCUGGCGGCAGGCUUAACACAUGCAAGUCGAACGCACUCUUCGGAGUGAGUGGCAGACGGGUGAGUAACGCGUGGGAAUCUACCCAGCCCUUCGGAAUAGCUCCGGGAAACUGGAAUUAAUACCGAGUACGCCUACGGGGAAAGGAUUUAUCGGGUUGGAUGAGCCCGCGUUGGAUUAGCUAGUUGGUGGGGUAAGUGGCCUACCAAGGCGACGAUCCAUAGCUGGUCUGAGAGGAUGAUCAGCCACACUGGGACUGAGACACGGCCCAGACUCCUACGGGGGCGUNCAGUAACGAAUCUUCCGCAAUGCCCGCAAGGGUG
rnacentral:rRNA from 1 species